GAAUCCUUAGCUCAGCGGCAAGAGCAUCCCGAUGCAUAUCGGGAGGGUCGUUGGUUCGAUCCCAACAGGGUCCA
rnacentral:tRNA from 1 species